rnacentral:sRNA from 1 species
AAAAUCUCACUUAGUUGCUCUCUUUUUGUAUUUUCAACUAGAUUUUAAAACCCGCGGUAUACCGCGGGGACAAUUUAUUUUUUU